rnacentral:rRNA from 1 species
GACGAACGCUGGCGGCGUGCCUAAUACAUGCAAGUAGAACGCAGUUGCGAACGGGUGAGUAACGCGUAGGUAACUGCCUGGUAGCGGGGGAUAACUAUUGGAAACGAUAGCUAAUACCGCAUACUACCAGAUGGACCUGCGUUGUAUUAGCUAGUUGGUGGGGUAACGGCUCACCAAGGCAACGAUACAUAGCCGACCUGAGAGGGUGAUCGGCCACACUGGGACUGAGACACGGCCCAGACUCCUACGGGAGGCAGCAGUAGGGAAUCUUCGGCAAUGGGCGCAAGCCUGAUGCAGCCAUGCCGCGUGUGUGAAGAAGGCCUUCGGGUUGUAAAGCACUUUCAGCGGGGAGGCGUUACCCGCAGAAGAAGCACCGGCUAACUCCGUGCCAGCAGCCGCGGUAAUUC